rnacentral:rRNA from 1 species
GAUGAACGCUGGCGGCGUGCCUAAUACAUGCAAGUCGAGCGAACAGAUGAGGAGCUUGCUCCUCUGACGUUAGCGGCGGACGGGUGAGUAACACGUGGAUAACCUACCUAUAAGACUUGGAUAACUUCGGGAAACCGGAGCUACUACCGGAUAAUAUAUUGAACCGCAUGGUUCAAUAGUUCAAGACGGUUUUGCUGUCACUUAUAGAUGGAUCCGCGCCGCAUUAGCUAGUUGGUAAGGUAACGGCUUACCAAGGCAACGAUGCGUAGCCGACCUGAGAGGGUGAUCAGCCACACUGGAACUGAGACACGGUCCAGACUCCUACGGGAGGCAGCAGUAGGGAAUCUUCCGCAAUGGGCGAAAGCCUGACGGAGCAACGCCGCGUGAGUGAUGAAGGUCUUCGGAUCGUAAAACUCUGUUAUUAGGGAAGAACAAAUGUGGAAGUAACUAUGCACGUCUUGACGGUACCUAAUCAGAAAGCCACGGCUAACUACGUG